UACGGAGGGAGCUAGCGUUGUUCGGAAUUACUGGGCGUAAAGCGCGCGUAGGCGGUUUUUUAAGUCAGAGGUGAAAGCCCAGUGCUCAACACUGGAACUGCCUUUGAAACUGGAAAACUUGAAUCUUGGAGAGGUCAGUGGAAUUCCGAGUGUAGAGGUGAAAUUCGUAGAUAUUCGGAAGAACACCAGUGGCGAAGGCGACUGACUGGACAAGUAUUGACGCUGAGGUGCGAAAGCGUGGGGAG
rnacentral:rRNA from 1 species